rnacentral:rRNA from 1 species
AGCGAACGCUGGCGGCAGGCCUAACACAUGCAAGUCGAACGAAGCCUUCGGGCUUAGUGGCGGACGGGUGAGUAACACGUGGGAACGUACCUUUUGGUUCGGAACAACUCAGGGAAACUUGAGCUAAUACCGGAUGAGCCCUUAGGGGGAAAGAUUUAUCGCCGAAAGAGCGGCCCGCGUUAGAUUAGCGAGUUGGUGAGGUAAAGGCUCACCAAGGCUACGAUCUAUAGCUGGUCUGAGAGGAUGAUCAGCCACACUGGGACUGAGACACGGCCCAGACUCCUACGGGAGGCAGCAGUGGGGAAUCUUGCGCAAUGGGCGAAAGCCUGACGCAGCCAUGCCGCGUGAAUGAUGAAGGUCUUAGGAUUGUAAAAUUCUUUUACCAGGGACGAUAAUGACGGUACCUGGAGAAAAAGCCCCGGCUAACUUCGUGCCAGCCGCCGCGGUAAAAC